rnacentral:rRNA from 1 species
GUGACAGCCGCCGCGGUAAUACGGAGGGUGCAAGCGUUAUCCGGAUUCACUGGGUUUAAAGGGUGCGUAGGAGGGCAAGUAAGUCAGUGGUGAAAUCUCCGAGCUUAACUCGGAAACUGCCGUUGAUACUAUCUGUCUUGAAUACCGUGGAGGUGAGCGGAAUAUGUCAUGUAGCGGUGAAAUGCUUAGAUAUGACAUAGAACACCCAUUGCGAAGGCAGCUAACUACACGAUCAUUGACACUGAGGCACGAAAGCGUGGGGAGCAAACAGGAUUAGAAACCCUGGUAGUCC